rnacentral:rRNA from 1 species
UGCAUAAAAGUCGUAACAAGGUCUCCGUUGGUGAACCAGCGGAGGGAUCAUUA